GACGAACCGUGCGAACGUUGUUCGGAAUCACUGGGCUUAAAGGGCGCGUAGGCGGGCUGUCAAGUCAGUGGUGAAAUCCUUCAGCUCAACUGGAGAAGUGCCGCUGAUACUGACAGUCUCGAGGGAGGUAGGGGUCGAUGGAACUAAUGGUGGAGCGGUGAAAUGCGUAGAUAUCAUUAGGAACGCCGGUGGCGAAAGCGAGCGACUGGACCUCUUCUGACGCUGAGGCGCGAAAGCUAGGGGAGCAAACGGG
rnacentral:rRNA from 1 species